UCCCUCUUAGCUCAGUUGGUAGAGCGCGUCACUAGUAUCAGCUUGGUCUAUGACGAGGUCAGUCGUUCAAAUCGGCUAGCGGGAA